rnacentral:rRNA from 1 species
CCGUAGCCCAAGAGAUCGGGAUAACACCUGGAAACAGAUGCUAAUACCGGAUAACAACAGAUGAUGCCUAUCAACUGUUUAAAAGAUGGUUCUGCUAUCACUCUUGGAUGGACCUGCGGUGCAUUAGCUAGUUGGUAGGGUAACGGCCUGCCAAGGCGAUGAUGCAUAGCCGAGUUGAGAGACUGAUCGGCCACAUUGGGACUGAGACACGGCCCAAACUCCUACGGGAGGCAGCAGUA